rnacentral:rRNA from 1 species
ACCCACGAGCGUUGAAAAGCUCGGGGAUGACUUGUGGGUAGCGGUGAAAUUCCAAUCGAGCCCGGAGAUAGCUGGUUCUCCCCGAAAUAGCUUUAGGGCUAGCCUCAAGGUGAGAGAUACGGAGGUAGAGCACUGAAUGUCCUAGGGGGUAUUGCACCUACCGAAGACUAUCAAACUCCGAAUGCCGUCAUCUUAUACUUGGGAGUCAGACUGUGGGUGAUAAGAUUCAUAGUCGAAAGGGCAACAGCCCAGAUCGUCAGCUAAGGUCCCUAAAUGUAAGUUAAGUGGUAAAGGAUGUGGGAUUGCACAGACAACCAGGAUGUUGGCUUAGAAGCAGCCACUCAUUCAAAGAGUGCGUAAUAGCUCACUGGUCGAGUGAUCCUGCGCCGAAGAUUUCCGGGGCUAAAACUUACUACCGAAGCUACGGCAUCAGUAAUGAUGGGUAGGGGAGCUUCCCAUACGGGUUGAAGCAUGACCGUAAGGACAUGUGGACAGUAUGGGAGUGAGAAUGUUGGCAUGAGUAGCGAGAUGUGGGUGAGAAUCCCACAGGCCGUAAACCCAAGGUUUCCAGGGGAAGGUUCGGCCGCCCUGGGUUAGUCGGGACCUAAGCUGAGGCCGAAAGGCGUAGGUGAUGGACAACAGGUUGAUAUUCCUGUACUACCGAUAACCGUUUGAGAGA